GCUUAGUGGCAGGGUUUGCACCGAUAGAUAGAUAGAUGAUAGAUAGAUAGAUAGAUAGAUAGAUAGAUAGAUAGAUAGAUAGAUAAUAGAUAGAAAGAUAGAUAGACAAAUGAGAGUUUUCUCUGAAGAGCAGAGACCUCUAAUUUGAGUAAAAUUUUCUUAAAGCUAUGAACUCUGACUUUUGAUUUUGUGUUUCCAUUUAGUAGAAACUCAUUUUUUGUAAACUUCUAAUGUAUUUUUUUAAAUGUAAGCCUUAUUAAAAAUAAAACUACUUUCUUACUACUUUUGAAAAAUAUAUGACACCAAAUAAUAUCCUGUCAUCGUUUGUUAAUAAAAUGUCAAAAAAAAAAAUGCUAGCUGUGAAGAGAAAACUUAUAAUUUUGGGUCUUAUAGCAUUGUGGUAUCUAAGCUCAAGAAAUUCAGGGCUGAAGAAUAGACCCAGGCGGAUCCAGGCACAGCCAGAUCCACCCUGUAGCUAAGAAUGUCCGGCCAUAAAAGAUAAAAAAGAAAGUGCAGGAACUAGCCAGGGCUAUCAGGACCAAAUGGCCAUCUGGCAGGAUGGCGCCUCCCGGGUGGCACCUCCCUAUAGCCCACCAUAAAUCAUAUACUGACCAGGUGUCCUGCUGACCUCGAGAAGUCCAAGCCUUUGUGCCCCCCUACACCUUAACUAGCAUGUACUGCCCUGUUAAUUUGUAAUCACCUCGCCGACAUUUAAAUAAGCCAAUCAUGUGUAACCUCGC
rnacentral:lncRNA from 1 species